AGCACACUAUCGAGGCGAUAUCGCAACCAAUGAGGUUCUACCGAGAUGCGAUUAUUGCUAGUUGAAAACUUUAACCAAUACCCAGCCAUGGGGACGUGAAAUACCGCUAAACCUUUAAUGAAUAAGUAAAUU